AGCUCCAAUAGCGUAUAUUAAAGUUGUUGCAGUUAAAAAGCUCGUAGUUGGAUUUCUAGUAGAAGUCAAUAGCACACCUGUGUGAUGCUUGCGACUUUUGCUAUCCUUCUGUUAACCUUGGAAUCAUUGAUUUGUUUCCUUGGAGCUCAGAUAUUUUACCUUGAGAAAAUUAGAGUGUUUCAGGCAGGCAAGUGCCCGGAUACAUUAGCAUGGAAUAAUGGAAUAGGACUUUAGCCUCUUCUGUUGGUCUGAGGGGUUGAAGUAAUGAUUAAUAGGGAUAGUUGGGGGCAUUAGUACUUAACUGUCAGAGGUGAAAUUCUCGGAUUUGUUAAAGACUAACUUAUGCGAAAGCAUUUGCCAAGGAUGUUUUCA
rnacentral:rRNA from 1 species